GCCCAGACUCCUACGGGAGGCAGCAGUGAGGAAUAUUGGUCAAUGGGCGAGAGCCUGAACCAGCCAAGUCGCGUGAAGGAUGACGGCCCUACGGGUUGUAAACUUCUUUUGUCAGGGAGCAAUUGAGUCCACGUGUGGUCUUAGCGAGAGUACCUGAAGAAAAAGCAUCGGCUAACUCCGUGCCAGCAGCCGCGGUAAUACGGGGGAUGCAAGCGUUGUCCGGAAUCAUUGGGCGUAAAGAGUUCGUAGGUGGCACGUUAAGUCUGGUGUUAAAUGCAGAGGCUCAACCUCUGUUCGGCACUGGAUACUGGCGAGCUUGAAUGCGGUAGAGGUAAAGGGAAUUCCUGGUGUAGCGGUGAAAUGCGUAGAUAUCAGGAGGAACAUCGGUGGCGUAAGCGCUUUACUGGGCCGUAAUUGACACUGAGGAACGAAAGCCAGGGUAGCAAAUGGGAUUAGAUACCCGCGUAUGC
rnacentral:rRNA from 1 species